AGUGAACGCUGGCGGUAGGCCUAACACAUGCAAGUCGAACGGCAGCACAGUAAGAGCUUGCUCUUACAGGUGGCGAGUGGCGGACGGGUGAGGAAUACAUCGGAAUCUACUUUUUCGUGGGGGAUAACGUAGGGAAACUUACGCUAAUACCGCAUACGACCUACGGGUGAAAGCAGGGGAUCUUCGGACCUUGCGCGAUUGAAUGAGCCGAUGUCGGAUUAGCUAGUUGGCGGGGUAAAGGCCCACCAAGGCGACGAUCCGUAGCUGGUCUGAGAGGAUGAUCAGCCACACGGGAACUGAGACACGGUCCAGACUCCUACGGGAGGCAGCAGUGGGGAAUAUUGGACAAUGGGCGCAAGCCUGAUCCAGCCAUACCGCGUGGGUGAAGAAGGCCUUCGGGUUGUAAAGCCCUUUUGUUGGGAAAGAAAAGCAGCAGGUUAAUACCCCGCUGUUCUGACGGUACCCAAAGAAUAAGCACCGGCUAACUUCGUG
rnacentral:rRNA from 1 species